CCUACGGGUGGCAGCAGUGGGGGAUAUUGCACAAUGGGGGAAACCCUGAUGCAGCGACGCCGCGUGAGUGAAGAAGAAUUUCGGUAUGUAAAGCUCUAUCAGCAGGGAAGAAAAUGACAGUACCUGACCAAGAAGCCGCGGCUAACUACGUGACACCAGCCGCGGUUCUACGGAGGGGGCAAGCGUUAUCCGGAUUUACUGGGUGUAAAGGGAGCGUAGACGGUUAUGUAAGUCUGGAGUGAAAACCUGGGGGCCAACCCCGGGACUGCGUUGGAAACUGUGUAACUUGAGUACAGGAGUGGCAGGCGGAAUUCCUGGUGUAGCGGUGAAAUGCGUAGAUAUCAGGAAGAACACCGGCUGCGAAGGCAGCCUGCUGGACUGAAACUGACGUUGAGGCACGAAAGCGUGGGGAGCGAACAGGAUUAGAUACCCGAGUAGUC
rnacentral:rRNA from 1 species